rnacentral:tRNA from 1 species
UAUUAAAUGACUGAAAGCAAGUAAUGGUCUCUUAAACCAAUUUAUAGUAUUAUAGCAAAUACUUUUAAUAA